rnacentral:rRNA from 1 species
CGGUGAAGCAGAGCUUGCUCUGUGGAUCAGUGGCGAACGGGUGAGUAACACGUGAGCAACCUGCCCCGGACUCUGGGAUAAGCGCUGGAAACGGCGUCUAAUACUGGAUACGAGCAGCGGAGGCAUCUUCAGCUGCUGGAAAGAUUUUUUGGUCUGGGAUGGGCUCGCGGCCUAUCAGCUAGUUGGUGAGGUAACGGCUCACCAAGGCGUCGACGGGUAGCCGGCCUGAGAGGGUGACCGGCCACACUGGGACUGAGACACGGCCCAGACUCCUACGGGAGGCAGCAGUGGGGAAUAUUGCACAAUGGGCGGAAGCCUGAUGCAGCAACGCCGCGUGAGGGAUGACGGCCUUCGGGUUGUAAACCUCUUUUAGCAAGGAAGAAGCGAAAGUGACGGUACUUGCAGAAAAAGCGCCGGCUAACUACGUGCCAGCAGCCGCGGUAAUACGUAGGGCGCAAGCGUUAUCCGGAAUUAUUGGGCGUAAAGAGCUCGUAGGCGGUCUGUCGCGUCUGCUGUGAAAACCCGAGGCUCAACCUCGGGCCUGCAGUGGGUACGGGCAGACUAGAGUGCGGUAGGGGAGAUUGGAAUUCCUGGUGUAGCGGUGGAAUGCGCAGAUAUCAGGAGGAACACCGAUGGCGAAGGCAGAUCUCUGGGCCGUAACUGACGCUGAGGAGCGAAAGGGUGGGGAGCAAACAGGCUUAGAUACCCUGGUAGUCCACCCCGUAAACGUUGGGAACUAGUUGUGGGGUCCAUUCCACGGAUUCCGUGACGCAGCUAACGCAUUAAGUUCCCCGCCUGGGGAGUAC